rnacentral:rRNA from 1 species
ACGAACGCUGGCGGCGUGCCUAAUACAUGCAAGUCGAACGCUUCUUUCCUCCCGAGUGCUUGCACUCAAUUGGAAAGAGGAGUGGCGGACGGGUGAGUAACACGUGGGUAACCUACCCAUCAGAGGGGGAUAACACUUGGAAACAGGUGCUAAUACCGCAUAACAGUUUAUGCCGCAUGGCAUAAGAGUGAAAGGCGCUUUCGGGUGUCGCUGAUGGAUGGACCCGCGGUGCAUUAGCUAGUUGGUGAGGUAACGGCUCACCAAGGCCACGAUGCAUAGCCGACCUGAGAGGGUGAUCGGCCACACUGGGACUGAGACACGGCCCAGACUCCUACGGGAGGCAGCAGUAGGGAAUCUUCGGCAAUGGACGAAAGUCUGACCGAGCAACGCCGCGUGAGUGAAGAAGGUUUUCGGAUCGUAAAACUCUGUUGUUAGAGAAGAACAAGGACGUUAGUAACUGAACGUCCCCUGACGGUAUCUAACCAGAAAGCCACGGCUAACUACG